UUUGUUUGUUUGUUUGUUUGUUUGUUUGUUUGUUUGUUUGUUUGUUUGUUUGUUUGUUUGUGUUUGUUUGUUUGUUUGUGUUUGUUUGUGUUUGUUUGUUUGUUUGUGUUUGUUUGUGUUUGUUUGUGUUUGUUUGUUUGUUUGUGUUUGUUUGUGUUUGUGUUUGUUUGUGUUUGUUUGUUUGUGUUUGUUUGUGUUUGUUUGUGUUUGUGUUUGUUUGUGUUUGUUUGUGUUUGUUUGUUUGUUUGUGUUUGUUUGUUUGUGUUUGUUUGUGUUUGUUUGUUUGUUUGUUUGUUUGUUUGUUUGUUUGUUUGUUUGUUUGUUUGUUUGUUUGUUUGUU